AGAGUUUGAUUAUGGCUCAGGAUGAACGCUAGCUACAGGCUUAACACAUGCAAGUCGCGGGGCAUCGCAUGGGGCGGCAACGUCCCUGGCGGCGACCGGCGGAUGGGUGAGUAACGCGUAUCCAACCUGGCCCCCUCUCCGGGACAGCCCCCUCGAAAGAGGGAUUAAUACCGGAUGUUCCCCAGUUUGCGCAUGCAUACUUGGGCAAAGGCUUCGGUCGGAAGGGGAUGGGGAUGCGUUCCAUUAGGCAGCCGGCGGGGUAACGGCCCACCGGGCCUUCGAUGGAUAGGGGUUCUGAGAGGAAGGUCCCCCCACACUGGUACUGAGACACGGACCAGACUCCUACGGGAGGCAGCAGUGAGGAAUAUUGGUCAAUGGCCGGGAGGCUGAACCAGCCAAGUAGCCGUGAGGGAUGACGGCCCUAUGGGUCUUAAACCUCUUUUGUUGGGGAGCAAAGUGGUCCACUUGUGGGCUAUUGCGAGUACCCUUCGAAUAAGCAUCGGCUAACUCCGUGCCAGCCGCCGC
rnacentral:rRNA from 1 species